AAAAAAACAUUAGUCAGAGACGAACUCUGUUCUUCGCCAAAACCCAGGAGAGAAGGGAGGUUCAGUAUUUGGAUUUUUCUCCUUUUUCUUCCUGGAAAGAGCUCUUCUCUGGAAACAGCUCAAGACCACUGAUUGUUCUUAAUCCCACCUGUCUUUGAAUCUUUGUGACUUUUAGUCUAAAUAAAGUAAAUGUCCUUGACUUUCAGUUCAGUUUCUAAAUGGGGAAACCAUGUGCAAAGUCCCUCUGCAGGGCUUUUUGGUAUUUUAAACUUUUGUUCUCUCCUAGAUGAUGACAGUUCCUCAGUGAGUCUUGACAAUAAUUUCUAAAUUAGCCUUGUCCGAACUUGUACUCAGUAAUCUCAGGUAUUUAAUUGUGAGUGUCACAGAUUCCUAGAAUUUCCAGUGCAGGUGUCAGAUUAAAAAAGACAGUUUGACAUCCUCGUUGCAUGGGUCAUUUUCGUCAUUUUCCACACCAGGAGUAAAGUAAUCAAUAUUGUCCCCUCAUUGCAGGGCUAGAGUAGUGACUUUGUAAAUGUGACACUUCCAUAUCUGGACUGUGUUGCACGUUCUACCGGCUAUUUAUCUAAUGUGGGACCACAGAGGGUACCAUGCUUAGAAAGCCAUACCGUGGAAGGCAGUGAGAUAAUUCUAUCAAGCAGCGGCAUAGCCGAAGCUAAUACACAGUCCUGGCUGCUGAGAUGUUUAUUUUGCAUAAUUCUUGAAAAGUGAACGGAAACCAUGCUUUUAAAUUGGAUUAAGAGAGAUUGUGUUCUGGGAGAAAUCAGCUGCGCGGUGUUUCAAGGAGAAGAGUUUGGAGCUUAGAGUCAGAUUUGUUGUUGUUCAUCUUCUUACAAAUUGCUUCCCAAAGCUCACGGCUGGUUUUGAAAUCUAUCGGAGCUCUGGAUGGAGUAGGAGAAGAAUGAACCAUGGGAAACAGAGAUUUCUGGGUACCGAUUCCAAAGUUGUUUCACAGUCAGCAUUUUUCAGUGCUUCCCAAAUAUUUAUCCCUUUCCAGGCAUCAGAAUACUCAGGUCUCUACCCCUUUCCCAGUCUGAAUUUCACCUGAGAAUUUAAAUAAGCAGUCCAUAGAUUGCUUGGUGAGCAAAGGAUUCAGAGGCAAGGGAAGUGAGCUGUUUCAGGAGAGGCUGCAUCCAGGCGCGGGAGUGACCUGUUCCUUGUGCCUGAAGACAGCAGCCUGGCUACCUCUUCUGACUCCAUCUGUGUCCAUUGAUUCCCUGCUUGUCUGCAUGGGUUGUGCCCCGUCAGUCUUGUCAAUCCCUGGUUAUUUGGCCUUUCCUCUUUUUCCAAGUUCUGGAUGUAUAUUCACCCACUGGCCAAGCUGUGCACAUGAAAAAGUUUAUUGAGCGCUUGCCUGCCAGGCUUUGGUUCCCAGUCUUUCUCCAAUCAAGGCACCAUACAGUUGAUUUUAUUAAAUCAUAUCCUAGUCCCUGCCUUCUGAGAUUGCCCCAUAUUAAGUUUAACUGGAUUAGAGAUAGUUUCAAACUCAGUUUAGUGAAUGAAAGUUUACUGAGCAUAUACCAUUGAAACUGAAAACAUCCAAUGUCUCUUUCGGAGGUAUUCAAAGGAAACCAGAGCCCGGUGAAGAUGAGUAGAAUGGAAAACUGUUUCCAAUUUCCUAAGUGGCAUUGCUUACUUCAUGGAAUCAGAUAAUUAUGAUUAUUUUAUAUUACGGAAAAAUUUCCAGUCCAUCACAUUUCCCACUGUGAAAAAAAAAAUCAGUGAAUGGUGCAUUUUGGACAAAAUUUGAAACAGAUGAGCUGUUCCUUUUCUGAUCACCCACAUGUAGAGUUGAUGACCAUGGAUAAGAGAAAUCAGUGGCCAACUUCAGAAUACCCCAAAUUAAUGUUCUCAAAUAGAGGAAUACAUAAGGAUCUGAAUUUUUUUCCAGCUUUACUGAGGUAUAAUUGACAAAUAGAAUUGUAAGAUAAAGUGGACAAUGUGCUGAUUUGUCAUGUGCAUACGUUAUGCAAGGAUUCUCCCCAAUGAGUCAGUUAAGGCAUCCACCACCCCCCAUAUUUAAAUUUUUCUUGUGUGUGAGAGAACAUUUAAGUUCUACUCUCUUAGCAAAUUUCAAUUAUAAAACAGUGUCAUCAGCUGUAGUCACUGUACUAUACAUUGGGUUCUCAGAAAUUACUCAUCUUAUAGCUGAAAGUCUGUUCCCUAUUUUCCCCACCCCCACCCCCAGCCCCUGGAAACCACUUUUCUACUCUCUGUUUCUAUGAGUUCAACUUUUUUUUUGAAGAUUCCACAUAUAAGCGAUACCAUGUGGUAUUUGUCUUUCUCUGUCUGGCUUAUUUCGCUUAGCGUAAUGCCUUCUAGGUUCAUCCACGUUAUUGCAAAUGAUAGGAUUUCCUUCCUUUUUCUAAGAAUAUAUAUAUAUAUAAUUCAAUUAUAUAUACAUUACAUUUAUAUAUAUAUAUAUAUAUAUAUAUAUACAUCUCACAUUUACUUAUCCAUUCAUCUAUUGACAUACACUUAUGUUGUUUCCAUCUUUUGGCUAUGUGAAUAAUGCCACUAGGAGCAUAGAAGAACAGAUACCUCUUCGAGAUAAUGAUUUCCUUUCCUUUGGCUAUCUACCCAGAAGUGGAAUUGCCAAAUCAUAUGGUAGUUCUAUGUUUAAUUUAUCCAAUGUGCUUUAGCUACAUAGAAGAUGUCUUUGGCGCCUACCAUGUCUAUAGCCCCUUCUGGGGAGUUCAGAGGAGCAGAGAAAGGCAGCGAGCAGAGCCUCUAGGCAGCGGAAGCCCUGGAUGAGUAGAAGCAAGAGGAAGAGUUGGUUAUUCAGCCAUGGCCUUGGAAAGCCUGGAUCUCCAGAAUGACAGAGCUGUAGCGUGGAGAGCCAAGGGCAAAUCCCACCAAAGGGACUGAUGACGGCAUCUCUAGAAGUGUGUUGCCUUCAGUUUCCCUGCCAGGACUGGAUGCAGUCUGACUGUGCUGCCACUGCGGGUGCCCUCCCCAGCCCAAAUGUCUGAGACCGAGGGCACCUGAGUGGGUCCCACUCCUCACUGAGUAAAAGAGUGAAUUUACCAGCAAGUGUCAGGAGCUUCAGGGGACCAGGGUCCUAGGAGGUUGGCUUGGCCCGUGCUGAGCCCUGUAACGUUGGGGCUUCACUUUCUCAUCAUACGGCAGUUUUUUGAAGAGGGCCCCUCAUCUGUAGGGGCUCCCUGUGCACGAGGCACAAGGUUGAGCACUUUCCAUGCUUGUCUCUUCCUGUAGCUGCAGCAGCCCUGUGCGGCGGAGUCACGGCUGACCUUCCACAGGCGAGGAAGCAGGAAUGGAGGCCCGGGGACUCGCCCAGAGUCAUUCACGAGGGGAGGGAUAGAGCCAGGUUCUGCAUCCAAACACGAUUAAAUACAAAGCCAGUAUCUUUAACCACUGUGUUGGGCUAUUCUAUGGUCUAUUUUUGUCAUUUAUGCUUAUCACGGGUAUUGAUAUAGGAGUCUCCUAGACACCAUGGAUUGAGAGUGUCAAACAUGAAAGCAAAACACUUUGUGUUUUUAAUAGGAUGUCAUCCUUCAUAUAUGAAGAUAAGGCUCUUGACUCUGCGCAUACAGCACACACGUUGAGCUUUCUUUUUUUUUUUCUUAAAAACAGUAGGAGAAUUUUGCUUAUUCACCUGUAUUCUGAGUGGGUUUCACUUGUCUUGUGCCCAACAGCUUACAUGUUGCAACACCUGGCAUUUAAAGAGGAGCUUCCUGAAAUAAAGAACGGGGGUGGGUGGCCUAAGGGGAGAGUAUGGGAAGACUAGAAAGGGGAUUUUCUCUUCGCAUCCAGUGAAUGUGAUAUUUUCUAUUCCAAACAGUAAGUCUAGUUCACUAAUUGAUAGGUCAGGGAAUGACUGGAUAAAGAUGAAAAGAGAGAACCAUUGAGUUGCCCAUAACAGGGCUGUGUGUGUGUGUUAUGUUGUGUUCACCAAGGUAAAAUCUUCCCAGCCAGUUCCCGUGGGUGUUGGGGUCCAGGAAACGUGUGUCAGGAUUAGGGGCAGGCGUCACAGGACUAAAAUGCAUAUGAUUCUCAUGGAAGAAUUAUUGGUUAAUGGAGAUGGAAAUUUGCUUUUAAUUCGACAUUUUUCUUUUCUUCUUUAUACUAAAAACCUUACUUUAUAAUCUUAUUACAAAGGUAACAUGCCUUCAUUUUAUUUCGUUGUUUCUUUUGGCUGCGUUGGGUCUUUUUUUUUUUAAUAUAAAUUUAUUUAUUUAUUUAUAUUUUAUUUUUGUCUGCGUUGGGUCUUCGUUGCUGUGCGUGGGCUUUCUCUAGUUGCGGCGAGCAGGGGCUACUCUUCGUUGUGGUGCCCGGGCUUCUCAUUACGGUGGCUUCUCUUUGUUGCAGAGCACAGGCUCUAGGCGUGCAGGCUUCAGCAGUUGUGGCUCGCGGGCUCUAGAGCGCAGGCUCAGUAGUUGUGGCGCACAGGGUUAGUUGCUCUGCGGCAUGUGGGAUCUUCCCGGACCAGGGCUCGAACCUGUGUCCCCUGCAUUGGCAGGCAGAUUCUUAACCACUAUGCCACCAGGGAAAUCUUGACUUUCAUCCUUGGUCCCUUGAUUGUUCCUGCAAAGCAUGAGAAAUGUCCAAAAAGAUAGAAAGCCCAAAUCUAGAUCUUGCCUUCUCAACACUGGCUGCCCUUGAGGGAGCUGACUUUUCACUGUCCCUGCACCAGGCCCUAUUUGCCAAGGGAAAGCGAAGCUCUGGGUGGACCCCUCUCCUUCCUCCCUUGCAGGCUUUCAUGGUUUCAAAUAUCACCUCUUGACUCCAAAAUCUGGAUUUCCAAUCUCGACAGUCCAUGUAAUCAAUCUUCUACAGAAAAUGCACUGUUCACUUCACUUUUCUCUCUCCUUCUCUCGUGCUAAGACAUCUCUAUUACCAAAUGCCAAGACUGUGACAACAUCCUCUAAACUGGUCUCCCUCACUCUAGGGACUUCUUCUAACCCAUCCUUUAUCCUGGCAUUAGUUUUAAUUUUCUAAAGCAACACUUUGAACGUUGGCCUUUUCCUUGUGCCUCUGUGGUGCCUCUUUGAUGCCUCCAGGGUAAUGUGCUAACACUUGACCCUGGAAAUCAAGAUGCUUUGCAAUCUUGACCUUAUUUACUUGAUCGACUCAUCUUUCUCAUUACCAUCCAGGUACGGCAGCAACGAUCCGCUUUUACUGAAAAUCCUCAAGUUCCCCUGCGUUUCUCAGCCUCUCUUGCUGUUAGACUGGGCCCAGGUGGCUCAGUUCUGCCUGAGGAGAUGUGGGUAGAAAUAAGGUUUGUCGUUUCAAGGCUUGGCCUCGGCAGCCCCUACCUGGCUCUCCAGGUCUCUCUUCGGGUUUCGGGGUGUCUCCAGAGGCCACUUAUUUAGAAGGUUCAGCUGCAAUAUGGUAGCACCUCCACCAGCCUGGGUCCCCGAGUGUCCAUGUGGAGUAGAGCCAAGGUUGGACGUGUAAUAUGAGUAAGAAAUAGGUUUGCUUUUGUGUUAAGGCUUUGAGAUUUUAGGCUUAGGUGGUUAGUAGACCUCUUGAUUCUAAGUUAAGAGGCAGGACCAGUCCUUUUUUCGGCCACGCUGCACAGCUUGUGGGAUCUUGAACUCCCUGACCAGGGAUCGAACCCACGUCCCCUGAAUUGGAAGCAUGAAGUCCUAACUACUGGACCGCCAGGGCAGUCCCUACAGGUGGGAACACUCUUGAGCAGACCAAGAUGUGUGUGCACGUAUGGGGUCAAGGGUGCAUGGGGUGGGGAAAAGCUUCUUACACAGCUAAUAAGUGGCAGGGGUGGGAUUUGAACCCGGGUCUCACUCUACCAUCUGAGAGGCACACUGCUCUCGAGACACUGAAGACUCAAGUCUGCAGGGCUAGCCCACGGAACUACCCAAGUUUCCCGGAAUGUCUCCGGGGCCCUCAUUCAGUUCCCAUGUUGCUGACUCCCUUGCCUCAAUUUACCACCUUGUGCCUGGUUAGGUCUUUCUAGGCUCAGUGGUGGGUGUCACUUCUCCUGGGAAUGUUCCCGAAACUGAAGACAUGAAUCUUUUUCCUCUCACAGAACCCUGGAUAUGUAUCAUAGUAGAGUACUUCCUGUCUGCUAAUUAUCUACUUCCUGUGUUCGCUGAUAAAGUCACUCUGGGCAGCGUGGAGAUCCUACCCCUGUAUUCCCACUGCCUCCUCAAUUUGCCCAUCCUAAACCUUUGACACAUGUUCGUUCAAUGAAUGAAUGAACACGUGUCCGAAUGGCCACAUCUAGAAGAUGCCUCCCUGUUAUUAUGCUGUCUUGCAUUAGAAGAAAGGUGUGCUAAGUGAUUGAGAUUCUUUUUUUUUUUAUCAUGGUUACUUCAAAGGGUGGAAAUUUUCUCCUUUCCGUUACCUCUGGCUAUAACUUAUUGACAACUUCAGCCUAAAAUAGCACGUAGCAGCUUUUCACUGUGCCUGUUUGGGAACUUCCUGACGGCACAUUUCGGAAGGUGAAUGACUUGUAAAUGCCCCUUGCUCCAUGUCUUAAACAGGUGUCUGCUUUCUGCCAUCUUUUACGGUUAUUGAAGGCACUAAAGAUUUUAAACUUGGCCUAUUUGACCUGAAUCUGAAAAUGAUGGCUUUCUCCCCCGGUUCUAAUUCUGACACUUGGAGUGACAGAAGAGGGAGCUCUGAGUUAGGUAAUCGUGGCCCACCUUUGGGGAACCUUCUCCUUGCUCUAGGCCCGGAUGAUGGACGGCUUAGUAACUCUUGAGGAUGGAAACGAAUCUGCAAGGGAGCAAGGAUCCAUCAGUGUUGAGCACCUCGCCAGAGGAUGGUCCUGGGUGUGAGGAGGCGACUGCCAGCGUGGGGAGAGAGACCUCAGAGCCCCCUCCUCCAGAGUAACGCCCACACCUGCCAGGCGGUAGGUCCCCUUGCCAGUGGUGGUGAAGCUGUCCUCACUGGCAUCGCCCAUCCAUAAAAGGACAUUGUGCUGCAGAGGGAGGGUAAGUAGCAGUCUCUUGAGCCCCCUGGUCCACACCCUAAGCCCUUCACCCGUGGAGGGUUUCCUUGGUUGUGCCCAACACAGGGAAAAUGGGCUGGGCCCCCUUGCUUCUCCCCUGUGGCAGAGUGCACGCCCUGAUCUGUGGCUGCCGGAGAGGCUGAUGGAAAGGGAAGGGGAGCCCUCAAACCAGGCGCAAGAUUCAACCGCUCCCAGCUCGUCCUUCUGAAAAGCACCGGAUCCCAGGACCUUGAUGCAUGGCCGAAGGGCCGCAAGAAACUGAGACAGUGAGAACCACAGAAUUCAAGUUAUUCCCUGAAGGACGGAGCCUGGAUGGGAACUGCGGCCCAAUCCUCCUGCUAUCACAUCAACAGACCACAUCUACCAGCCGAAAUGUGGUCCCCUGGCCACACCCCCUUUUCGUCAUCUAACUGCUCCCUGACUUUCUUCUUCCAAAUGACAAGGGCUUUUAUUUUAUUUGGUCAUUUAUAGUUUUUACAAUAAUGCUAAAUUAACAUUCAGAAUUCUGACAAAGAAAAAAAAAUAGCAGAUAAACCAAAAGCACAGCAUUUAUGUUAUGAUUUUUAUCACUAAUUAUUUUAUUAUCAUACUUAAACUAUUUCUUUAAACAUUAUUUUUAAAUUAUUACAUUACUUUAUUAUCAUUAAUUAGUUUUGAUUGGUGUAAAAUUUGCUUAACAUAAAUUUAACCAUUCUCAAGCGACUCAGUGGCAUUUGGUACAAUCGCAAUGUUGUGCGACCAUCACCUCUAUGGAAUCCCAAGCCAUUUUCAUCAGCCCCAAAGGAGCCCCCAUACCCACUGGCAGUCCCCCUCCCCCCUUCCUUCUUCUCCUUGGCCUCUGGCAACUAUUAACCUGAUUUCUGUCCCUAUGGAUUUACCUGUAUUCGAUAUUUCAUACGAAUGGAAUCACACAAUAUGUGAUCUUUGUGCCUGACUUUUUCGUUAAUUAUUUUAAAGCACCGUUUUCUACUUUAAGAAGUAGAUAAAGUGGAAAACAUUAAACUUAGUAGGAUUAUUAAGUGUUCACUCCUUAGUAGACUUUCAUAUUCAAGGGGGUGGUGGUAUUUUAUUUAUUCUUUUAAAAUAAAUUUGUUUAUUUA